rnacentral:rRNA from 1 species
UACAUGCAAGUCGAACGCGAUCCUUGGAUUCGUCUGAGGUGAGAGUGGCGAAUGGGUGAGUAACACGUAGGUGACCUGCCCCGAAGAUGGGGAUAACGGCUGGAAACGGUCGCUAAUACCCAAUAUGCUUGGUCAUUCGAUUGACUAAGUAAAGCCCCCGUCAGGGGAACGCUUCGGGAGGGGCCUGCGGUCCAUCAGCUAGUUGGUAGGGUAAUGGCCUACCAAGGCGAAGACGGGUAGGGGGCGUGAGAGCGUGAUCCCCCACACUGGCACUUGGACACGGGCCAGACUCCUGCGGGAGGCAGCAGUAAGGAAUAUUGCACAAUGGGCAAAAGCCUGAUGCAGCAACGCCGCGUGGACGAUGAAGGCUUUCGGGUCGUAAAGUCCUUUUCUAGGGGAAUAGUAAGGAAGGUACUCUAGGAAUAAGCGUCGGCUAACUACGUGCCAGCAGCCGCGGUAAAACGUAGGACGCAAGCGUUAUCCGAAUUCACUGGGCGUAAAGCGCCUGUAGGCGGUUCCGUAAGUUGGGCGUGAAAGCCCCCGGCUCAACUGGGGGAGGUCGUUCAAUACUGUGAGACUUGAGGGCGGUAGAGGGGAGUGGAAUUCUCGGUGGAGUGGUGAAAUGCGUAGAUAUCGAGAGGAACACCAGUGGCGAAGGCGGCUCCCUGGACCGUACCUGACGCUCAGAGGCGAAAGCUAGGGGAGCGAACGGGAUUAGAAACCCCGGUAGUCCUAGCCGUAAACGAUGGAUGCUGGGUGUGGGAGGUAUAGAUUCCUUCUGUGCCGAAGCUAACGCGUUAAGCAUCCCGCCUGGGAACUACGGCCGCAAGGCUAAAACUCAAACGAAUUGACGGGGGCCCGCACAAGCAGCGGAGCGUGUGGUUCAAUUCGAUUUUACACGAAGAACCUUACCUGGGUUUGAAAUGCGCGUAGUAGGGAUCCGAAAGGUGACCGUCUCGCAAGGGGGCGCGCACAGGUGCUGCAUGGCUGUCGUCAGCUCGUGCCGUGAGGUGUUAGGUUAAGUCCUGUAACGAGCGCAACCCUCGUCGCUAGUUAUAUGUGUCUAGCGAGACUGCCCGGCUAAACCGGGAGGAAGGUGGGGAUGACGUCAAGUCAGCAUGGCCUUUAUGUCCAGGGCUACACACACGCUACAAUGGCCGGUACAAUGGGAUGCCAAGCCGCGAGGCGGAGCUAAUCCUCCAAAGCCGGUCUCAGUUCGGAUUGCAGGCUGCAACUCGCCUGCAUGAAGCUGGAGUUGCUAGUAACCGCGCAUCAGCUAUGGCGCGGUGAAUACGUUCCCGGGCCUUGUACACACCGCCCGUCACGUCAUGGGAGUCGGCAACACCUGAAGCCGGCGGGCUAACCGUAAGGAGGCAGCUGUCGAAGGUGGGGUCGGUGACUGGGACGAAGUCGUAACAAGGUA